CAGCACAGCUCUAAACACAGCCACCUCUUUGCUCUGUCUAUAAAGCUUGCCUGACACUUUCUGUUGCAUAGUAUAUAAAUAAUGUCAUGCUUCUAUUCCCUGUCUGCAUUGAUCCACACUGACCUUUACAACUUCAUCUUGGAUGACCCUGCAGUUGAAGCGGAUGGAGAUCUUUGCCCAUACCUUGCCCACUCCUGCCUCUUGUUUCCAGGAGAAGAUGGAGCCACAAGACUGACCAGCCUAAGCUUUUCAUAGCAAGUGCUUUGCAAUAAGAGAGAGAUGAAUCCGAGACCAUAUGUACCAAGCAAUAACAGAAUGUAUUGCUGCGAGUCUUCAAGCAAACUAGAGAAGUUAGUAGGACUGUAAAGCAGCAUUUGAGUGCAAUUAUCUCCUGUGCAAUGCUUGUAAACUUUACCUGUCACUUCAACACUCCCUGUAAUUCCCUCUGACUGCAGUACUGUCAAUGCACAGCCUGUGCCUCCCCAAAAUCCCUCCCCAUCUCACACACAGCUUUAUUUCCCCCCACCUUACUACAAAGUUCACAUUUGCAGAAAUGGCAAUAAACUAACACAGCUAUUUUAAGAGAU